rnacentral:rRNA from 1 species
GGAACUGAAACAUCUAAGUACCCCGAGGAAAAGAAAUCAACCGAGAUUCCCCCAGUAGCGGCGAGCGAACGGGGAGCAGCCCAGAGCCUGAAUCAGUGUGUGUGUUAGUGGAAGCGUCUGGAAAGGCGCGCGAUACAGGGUGACAGCCCCGUACACAAAAAUGCACAUGCUGUGAGCUCGAUGAGUAGGGCGGGACACGUGGUAUCCUGUCUGAAUAUGGGGGGACCAUCCUCCAAGGCUAAAUACUCCUGACUGACCGAUAGUGAACCAGUACCGUGAGGGAAAGGCGAAAAGAACCCCGGCGAGGGGAGUGAAAAAGAACCUGAAACCGUGUACGUACAAGCAGUGGGAGCACAGAGCAAUCUGUGUGACUGCGUACCUUUUGUAUAAUGGGUCAGCGACUUAUAUUCUGUAGCAAGGUUAACCGAAUAGGGGAGCCGAAGGGAAACCGAGUCUUAACUGGGCGUUAAGUUGCAGGGUAUAGACCCGAAACCCGGUGAUCUAGCCAUGGGCAGGUUGAAGGUUGGGUAACACUAACUGGAGGACCGAACCGACUAAUGUUGAAAAAUUAGCGGAUGACUUGUGGCUGGGGGUGAAAGGCCAAUCAAACCGGGAGAUAGCUGGUUCUCCCCGAAAGCUAUUUAGGUAGCGCCUCGUGAAUUCAUCUCCGGGGGUAGAGCACUGUUUCGGCAAGGGGGUCAUCCCGACUUACCAACCCGAUGCAAACUGCGAAUACCGGAGAAUGUUAUCACGGGAGACACACGGCGGGUGCUAACGUCCGUCGUGAAGAGGGAAACAACCCAGACCGCCAGCUAAGGUCCCAAAGUCAUGGUUAAGUGGGAAACGAUGUGGGAAGGCCCAGACAGCCAGGAUGUUGGCUUAGAAGCAGCCAUCAUUUAAAGAAAGCGUAAUAGCUCACUGGUCGAGUCGGCCUGCGCGGAAGAUGUAACGGGGCUAAACCAUGCACCGAAGCUGCGGCAGCGACGCUUAUGCGUUGUUGGGUAGGGGAGCGUUCUGUAAGCCUGCGAAGGUGUGCUGUGAGGCAUGCUGGAGGUAUCAGAAGUGCGAAUGCUGACAUAAGUAACGAUAAAGCGGGUGAAAAGCCCGCUCGCCGGAAGACCAAGGGUUCCUGUCCAACGUUAAUCGGGGCAGGGUGAGUCGACCCCUAAGGCGAGGCCGAAAGGCGUAGUCGAUGGGAAACAGGUUAAUAUUCCUGUACUUGGUGUUACUGCGAAGGGGGGACGGAGAAGGCUAUGUUGGCCGGGCGACGGUUGUCCCGGUUUAAGCGUGUAGGCUGGUUUUCCAGGCAAAUCCGGAAAAUCAAGGCUGAGGCGUGAUGACGAGGCACUACGGUGCUGAAGCAACAAAUGCCCUGCUUCCAGGAAAAGCCUCUAAGCAUCAGGUAACAUCAAAUCGUACCCCAAACCGACACAGGUGGUCAGGUAGAGAAUACCAAGGCGCUUGAGAGAACUCGGGUGAAGGAACUAGGCAAAAUGGUGCCGUAACUUCGGGAGAAGG